UACAGAGGUCCCGAGCGUUAGGCGGAAUCACUGGGCUUAAAGCGUGUGUAGGCGGAUGCCUAAGUACCUUGUGAAAUCCCAUGGCUUAACCAUGGAACUGCUCGGUAUACUGGGUGUCUUGAGCCACUUAGGGGCUACCGGAACAAAUGUGGAGCGGUGAAAUGCGUAGAUAUCAUUGGAACGCCAAUGGUGAAAACAGGUAGCUGGGAGUGUGCUGACGCUGAGACACGAAAGCCAGGGAGCAAACGGG
rnacentral:rRNA from 1 species